AUUGAGCGCUGGCGGCAGGCCUAACACAUGCAAGUCGAGCGGAGCGGCGGACGGGUGAGUAAUGCCUAGGAAUCUGCCUGGUAGUGGGGGAUAACGUCCGGAAACGGGCGCUAAUACCGCAUACUAUCAGAUGAGCCUAGGUCGGAUUAGCUAGUUGGUGGGGGAAAGGCCUACCAAGGCGACGAUCCGUAACUGGUCUGAGAGGAUGAUCAGUCACACUGGAACUGAGACACGGUCCAGACUCCUACGGGGUGCAGCAGUGGGGAAUAUUGCACAAGGGGCGAAAGCCUGAUGCAGCCAUGCCGCGUGUAUGAAGAAUGCCUUCGGGUGGUAAAUUACUUUCAGCGGGGAGGCGUUACCCGCAGAGGAAGCACCGGCUAACUCCGUGCCAGCCGCCGCGGUAAUAC
rnacentral:rRNA from 1 species